CAAUAGCGUAUAUUUAAGUUGUUGCAGUUAAAAAGCUCGUAGUUGGAUUUCGGGUGUAAACUGCCGGUCCGUCUUUGAUGUGUACUGGUUGGUUGCGCCUUAUUGUCGAGGACGUGGUUCUGGCUUUCAUUAGCUGGGACACGGAGUCGGCAGCGUUACUUUGAGAAAAUUAGAGUGUUCAAAGCAGGCUAUCGCUCUGAAUACUACAGCAUGGAAUAACACGAUAGGACUCCGAGCCUAUUCUGUUGGUCUUCGGGACCGGAGUAAUGAUUAAGAGGGACAGUUGGGGGCAUUCGUAUUCCGAUGUCAGAGGUGAAAUUCUUGGAUUAUCGGAAGACGAACAUCUGCGAAAGCAUUUGCCAAGGAUGUUUUCAUUA
rnacentral:rRNA from 1 species